UGGGUCUAAAGAGCUACGUUGUGCAGGCA
rnacentral:piRNA from 1 species